CUACGGGCGGCUGCAGUGGGGAAUAUUGCACAAUGGGCGCAAGCCUGAUGCAGCCAUGCCGCGUGUAUGAAGAAGGCCUUCGGGUUGUAAAGUACUUUCAGCGGGGAGGAAGGGAGUAAAGUUAAUACCUUUGCUCAUUGACGUUACCCGCAGAAGAAGCACCGGCUAACUCCGUGCCAGCAGCCGCGGUAAUACGGAGGGUGCAAGCGUUAAUCGGAAUUACUGGGCGUAAAGCGCACGCAGGCGGUUUGUUAAGUCGGAUGUGAAAUCCCCGGGCUCAACCUGGGAACUGCAUCUGAUACUGGCAAGCUUGAGUCUCGUAGAGGGGGGUAGAAUUCCAGGUGUAGCGGUGAAAUGCGUAGAGAUCUGGAGGAAUACCGGUGGCGAAGGCGGCCCCCUGGACGAAGACUGACGCUCAGGUGCGAAAGCGUGGGGAACAAACAGGAUUAGAUACCCGAGUAGUC
rnacentral:rRNA from 1 species